rnacentral:rRNA from 1 species
UACGGAGGGUGCGAGCGUUGUCCGGAAUCACUGGGCGUAAAGGGCGCGUAGGCGGCGCGGGCAGCGUGCGGUGAAAGCCCGGGGCUCAACCCCGGGUCGGCCGUGCGAACUCCCGGGCUCGAGCACUGUAGGGGCAGGCGGAAUUCCGGGUGUAGCGGUGGAAUGCGUAGAGAUCCGGAAGAACACCGGUGGCGAAGGCGGCCUGCUGGGCAGUGGCUGACGCUGAGGCGCGACAGCGUGGGGAGCAAACAGG